ensembl:lncRNA disintegrin and metalloproteinase domain-containing protein 12-like
GCUUGAGUUCAUAUUGGCUCGUGCGCUCAUGGAAAGCUGAUGUGUGGCGCGCUCUGAGAGUCUCUCACAUUUCAGGAAGUGUCGGAAGUCCUCAGCUGCUGUCCGUCUGUCCUGCUCUAUAUUAUGGUCGCGCAGCCGUGAUCCGCGUGGAUCGUUGGUGUGGAUCUCCGGUGGGGCACCAUGUCCACCCGGUACAGCCCGAGGCGUGCGCUCCUGCUCCUGCCCGCGGUCUGCGCGCAUGUUGUGUCCGUGCUGACUGUCUGCUGCGCCGGGAGCAUGUUUACAGCCGCUGCCUAUCCGAAUCAACACGACACGCUGGAGCGUUAUGACAUAAUCAAACCACACCUGCUCAUUGGAGGACAGCAGAGACCGGUUAGUCUCAUAAAGUCAAUGGGUCAUCCUGGAUCACUGAAGGUGCUGAUUGAAGUGGAUGGAGAGCAACUGCUACUUGCUUUGCAGAAAAAUGAAGGGCUGUUUGCUAGUCACUACACAGAAACACACUACCUGGAGGAUGGAAGUGCCGUCACCACCUCACCGAAUGUCACGAUUCACUGCUACUAUCAUGGCGAGGUGGAGGGUCACCCGGGGUCAGAGGUCAGCCUCAGCACCUGCACAGGACUCAGGGGACUGAUUUCACUUGAACAUGAAGUGUAUGUACUGGAGCCGAUGGAAGAGGGAAACACACACCGUCUUUACAGAGGAGAACAUCUUAAACUCACCCAGGGAACCUGCGGACACGGUCACAACAUUUCAUACCCUACAGAGAUGAUGAACACUACUGGAGCCGUCUUCAGCUCUCACAGCAGCCAGAGGCAUAAAAGAGACGCUCAGAGCAGCACCAAGCAUGUGGAGUUGAUCAUCGUCGCAGACAACCGCGAGUAUCAGAAACAGGGGAAAGACGUGGAGAAAGUGAAACAGAGGCUUGCUGAAAUAGCGAACUACGUGGACAAGUUUUACAGAUCGCUGAAUAUCCGUGUGGCUCUGGUGGGGCUGGAGGUGUGGAGUGACGGAGACAAAUGCUCCAUCACACAGGAUCCGUUCACAUCGCUCCACGAGUUCCUGGACUGGAGAAAAGUCAAGCUGCUCCCGCAGAGACCCCAUGAUAACGCUCAGCUCAUCAGUGGCGUUUACUUCCAGGGCACCACCAUCGGCAUGGCUCCCAUUAUGAGCAUGUGCACUGCGGAACAGUCAGGGGGCAUCGUCAUGGAUCACUCUGAUAACCCUCUCGGCGCUGCGGUUACUUUGGCCCAUGAGCUCGGACACAACUUCGGCAUGAACCACGACACACCGGAGCGCGGCUGCGGCUGCAGAGCCACCAUGGACCGCGGCGGGUGUAUCAUGACCCCCUCCACUGGGUAUCCUUUCCCUACAGUCUUCAGUACGUGCAGUAAGAAGGAUCUUGCGGCGAGUUUGGAGAAAGGUGUGGGCAUGUGUUUGUUCAACAUGCCAGAGGUGAAGGUGCUCUACGGAGGCCAGAAAUGUGGAAAUGGAUACGUCGAGGAGGGAGAGCAGUGUGAUUGCGGAGAUGUGGAGGAGUGUCUGAAUCCCUGCUGUAAUGCCAGUACAUGCACACUGAAGGACGAAGCCGUAUGUGCGCAUGGACAGUGUUGUGAAGACUGUCAGUUGAAGCCUGCAGGGACUCGGUGCCGUGAGUCCAGUAACUCCUGUGAUCUGCCGGAGUUUUGCACGGGUGCCGAUCCUCACUGUCCCGCUAAUGUCUACCUGCACGACGGACACACCUGUCAGGGUGUGGAUGGACACUGUUACAACGGCAUCUGCCAGACACACGAGCAGCAGUGCAUCACACUGUGGGGACAGGCUCCAGGUAUCUGUUUCGAAAGAGUCAACUCGGCGGGAGAUCCGUAUGGAAACUGUGGAAAAGAUUCAAAGGAAUCAUUUGCCAAAUGUGAAGCGCGAGAUGCUAAAUGUGGGAAGAUCCAGUGUCAGGGCGGAGCCAAUCGGCCAGUGAUUGGCACCAAUGCCGUCUCCAUAGAAACCAAUAUCCCGCUCCAGGAAGGAGGCCGUAUCCUCUGCCGCGGGACUCAUGUGUACCUGGGAGACGACAUGCCGGAUCCGGGCCUCGUGCUCACCGGCACCAAGUGUGGAGAAAACAUGAUGUGUAUAAACAGACAGUGUCAGAACAUCAGUGUGCUCGGGGUUCACGACUGUUCGGCCAAGUGCAGCGGACACGGGGUUUGUAAUAAUAAUAAGAACUGUCACUGUGAGUCACUCUGGGCUCCUCCGUUCUGUGAUAAAGCUGGGUUUGGAGGCAGUAUGGACAGCGGCCCGAUGAGACCAACAGGUAUUAAACAUGUAUCCGUGAUUAUUAUUAUACUGCACUUAAACCACAUCUACUCAAUUCACCAAUGUGUGUGUUUUUCUGUUCAUGCAGACAGCAGCAGUGUGACGGUGGGCAUCCUGACGGUGGACUCUGUGGUCCCGUCUCAUGGUCUCCGCCGGCUGCCCCCGUGCCCUCCGGUCCACCUCUCUCACCCGCUGCCGCUGGCACUUGGCCUUCCACUGACACCACCACACACACACUCGUCUCCACCCAGAGCCCCUCCACCAGCACUCACACACACAUACACAUCCGCUCCAGCAGUGGGAACGGCCGGCCGUGGCCUGGCCUGCCAGAAUGUCUGCAAGAUCGCCAUGGUGAGUGGAAAUAUGCCAGCGCUGUAG